rnacentral:lncRNA from 1 species
GCUCUCAUCACCUAUAUACUCUUCUCUCUGCCCGUCUCUGCUUCCCCCCCCUUCCCCCCCCCCUUUUCUCCCGGCCGACGGAGCUGAAGGGGCGGGGGUUCCUUCCUUGGAGUGUUUCUAGAGCUCGGAGGCUGCUGGUAGGGGGGCACCACUUUCAGAUAAAAACAUAGACCUGAAUGGCAUCAUCCAGUAUCCAAGGAAACCAUUGUGUCUGUAACCAGCUAAUGAGCUGCAACAGAGCCUGGCCUUCAUUUUCAGCAAAUUAAGUUCAUCCCUCAUAGGAAUUGUGGUCUGGCUGUGGCACCGCUCCUAGGUAUGGGUGGGAUUUGUUUCUUCUAGCAGUUGUAGGUUAGCCACAUGGGUACGUGCUGUCGCACCACACAACAAAAUUUUCUCUAUAAUAACCAGUCUAAGUAGGCUUUUACCCCACAAAAGUAGAUCCCAUUUAAUUUACUUUGUGUUUAUAGCACUCCCUCUCAAACCGCACCAUUGGCACAGACUAAUAUUUAUACAACUUUUUAUUUUAAACUAUUU